GUGGGGAAAUUAACAAGAUGGCACCAGUCAGGCUCUCUCACCCCACGCUCUCAUGCCCUCUAGCCCCACGUUACUGUAAACAAUGACAUUGCACGGUUAUGUAACAGUUGAGAUCGCUUAUAGCUCUGCGCACAUGCAUCACGAGGUACUCACUUGGCAACGGGCUACUUUCCUUCCCUGCCAUCAUGAACAGAAACGUCCUGGUCAGAGACUGCUGCCCCAGCCUGGGUUUCAGAAUGGAGAUGCCAUGAAGCAGAGCAGCUGGCCACAUGGAGAGAGAAACAAGUCAGAUAGAAACUGUUGCUACGGACUCCCCUGUGGAGCCCAAGGCUGCCCUGCUGCUCACCCCUCAGAUGACUACUCUUCACCAUGUGCUGGCUGGUGGCUGCCAGUGUUCAUAGGGAGCUGAAGACUCAUGAGCUGGCACUAGCCAAACACAUCAAGCUCAACCCUACGUCUCCAGUUACCCCUUUAUCGGCUGGGUCUGGUGUGAGGAGAGUGAGGUACCAGGGGUGCCAAAUUGAAGAAAAUCCCAGAUGACGACACCAAGACUGCCGACUGGUCUAGUCUGUGACUCACCCAGGACCAGGCCCCAGGCCAGUGCUCGGGACUCCCCAGGCUGGGCAGAAGAGCAUGAGGGGUCUCCACCCACCUGCUCCUUGGUAUGCCUCUGCCCUGGCAGGGCAGCCCCUUCUUCUGGCCGGCUCUUGACUCUCCUGGGUGCAAUGCCCUUGGAGCAACCCUCAGAGGUUCCUAUCACUCUCCUACCUCCUGCCCCCCUCGCCAAAAACUUAUUAAGCAGUCGCCUGUCACCUCUACCUUAAUAAAUAAGAAUCUC
ensembl:lncRNA